UUGCUUCCAAAGAGACUUAGUGGCGAACGGGUGAGUAACACGUAGGUAACCUGCCCAUGUGCCCGGGAUAACUGCUGGAAACGGUAGCUAAAACCGGAUAGGUAUGAGGGAGGCAUCUUCCUCAUAUUAAAGCACCUUCGGGUGUGAACAUGGAUGGACCUGCGGCGCAUUAGCUGGUUGGUGAGGUAACGGCCCACCAAGGCGAUGAUGCGUAGCCGACCUGAGAGGGUGAACGGCCACAUUGGGACUGAGACACGGCCCAAACUCCUACGGGAGGCAGCAGUAGGGAAUUUUCGUCAAUGGGGGGAACCCUGAACGAGCAAUGCCGCGUGUGUGAAGAAGGUCUUCGGAUCGUAAAGCACUGUUGUAAGUGAAGAAUGCCAUAUAGAGGAAAUGCUGUGUGGGUGACGGUAGCUUACCAGAAAGCCACGGCUAACUACGUGCCAGCAGCCGCGGUAAUACGUAGGUGGCAAGCGUUAUCCGGAAUCAUUGGGCGUAAAGGGUGCGUAGGUGGCACGAUAAGUCUGAAGUAAAAGGCAACAGCUCAACUGUUGUAUGCUUUGGAAACUGUCGAGCUAGAGUGCAGAAGAGGGCGAUGGAAUUCCAUGUGUAGCGGUAAAAUGCGUAGAUAUAUGGAGGAACACCAGUGGCGAAGGCGGUCGCCUGGUCUGUAACUGACGCUGAUGCACGAAAGC
rnacentral:rRNA from 1 species